rnacentral:lncRNA from 1 species
GUUUUUCAACUCGCUUUUUGGGCUUCGAAACAACAAAACUGAGUUAUAUGUCCUUCAUAUGUUUUGUAGACCUUCAUCUCAGCUAUUUGAAAAUGGUUACGAACAUCCGGAACUAAAUUGUAUAGCUUCUUUGCAGCACAUAAUGAAUCAUUGUUCAGUUUCACUGCCCGGCUCUGCCUGUUCAGUAACCUAAGAUCUGAAAACACAUUAAUUUCCCACGAGGUCAAUAGUUCAAAAAGAGAUUCAAAAUUCUAAUUGUCUUGUGCAACAUAUCCAAAAUAUUUAAAAAUCAAGCAUGAAUAGCAGAAAAUAUACAUGCUAAAAAUUCCCUUAUCAAAUACCCCCAAACUUGAAUGUUUGCUUGUCCUCAAGCAAAAAGGAAACCAUGAAAGCAUAGUGCUAAAAGCUCAUGAUAAGUUCAACUUUGACAUUUAAAAGGCUCCAUCAUGCAACAUUCACUUCUUGACUUAGCUCAUAGACAAUAUUAGAUAAUGGAAAACUAAGCAUUCCUACUCUCUGUGCAGACCGUUGUACAAACUUCCAACUCAUCCAUGUGUUUCAUGUGUUUAGCAUCCUUGAACCGUGCACAGUCAUUCUGCCAUUAUUUAUUUUUUUUUUUUUGAACAAGGUAGCCAACUUUAGGAGUAAUAACACACUUUUACUUGUCUUUUGACAAGGGUGAUUUUUUUAAAUUUAUCACUUGUCUUUUGACGCGAAUACAAACAUUUGUGAUGAAUGCACUCGGUUACUUAACAGGUCAUAAACUUAAAAUGCUUUGCAUACUCAUAUUUUAAGCUGCCGUUUGACGUAAAAGUAAACAAUUGUGAUGAAUACUCCUAGUUACUAAGCAACUCAAAACAUUGGAGUAGAUACACAUCAUAUACUUAUUCAUUCACUUUCAUACUCAUUAUCACUCCUUGUUUUGAUAUUUUUCUUAGAGGGUAAUAACAAAAAAGAACAGCACACUUAUCUCUUAUGCAUAACUACACAAUUCACCUGACUGUGCUGGAAAAGUGUACUUCAAUAAUUCAACAGAAAAUAGUCAUGCUUAAUCCAACUUUAUAAGAUAUUAUCCACUCUAAGCCUAGGAAUAUCAUGGAUACAUCAUGAAGCACCUAAAAAUGUCAAAGUUGGUCUUAAAUGCAUAUCACUUUUCACCCUCUGUUUUCAUGGUUCCAGUGUGCAGUGUUCUUUCAUAGUCAAAGCAUGCAAUGUCUCCCCCAAACUUAAAUAUCACAUUGUCCUCAAUGGAAAAACAAAGAAUAGAAAGGCCUACGAAUACUUCCUUUUGACUAUGUGGGUGUGAGUUUGUUGUUGCUCCUGGUUAUUUGCUUGUAUGAUCAAUCCCUGCACAACUCAAUAAAACAAAUAAGGUUUUUUUUUUUUUUUGGGUUGCCUCCCAAUCAGCGCUUAGUUAUAGUCAUUAGCUUGACUUUUCCAUUUAGCUAAGAUGAAGUGAGAGGGAUAUCAUCCCUUUUUCCAAUAGACUCUCCAUUCCUAUAAUGCUUCAGACACUGCCCAUUCACUGUGAAUGUUCCCUUUUCAUCAUGAGUGACCUCUACUGCUCCAUAAGGAAAUACCUUCACAACCGUAAAUGGUCCUGACCACCGUGAUUUGAGCUUACCAGGAAACAAGCGGAGCCGUGAAUUGAAAAGUAAUACCUGCUGACCAGAGACAAACUCCUUGCGUACAAUGUGUUUGUCAUGCCAUGCCUUGGUUCUUUCCUUGUAUAUCUUGGCAUUCUCAUAGGACUCAUUGCGAAAUUCAUCCAUCUCAUUAAGUUGCAGGAUUCGUUUCUCACCUGCAACCUGCAGAUCCAUGUUCAGUUGUUUCAUUGCCCAGUAUGCCUUAUGCUCUAAUUCAACAGGAAGAUGGCAUGCUUUUCCAAAAACUAAUCGAUACGGAGACAUUCCCAAUGGUGUUUUGAAUGUUGUCCGAUAUGCCCACAAUGCAUCAUCUAGCUUUCGUGCCCAAUCUUUCCGAGAAUUACUUACUGUUUUCUCUAAGAUUUGCUUCACCUCUCUAUUUGAUACCUCUGUUUGGCCAUUUGUCUGAGGAUGAUAAGCCAAUGCUCGUUUGUGUCUGACUCCAUACUUAGAUAGCAGUGCUUCAAACUGCUUGUUGCAAAAAUUAGUUCCUUCAUCACUGAUGAUGGCUCGAGGAGUACCAAAUCUGGUAAAGAUGUUUUUUCGUAGAAAAUUAAGUACCACCUUGCCAUCAUUUGUAGUCGUUGCAAUUGCCUCGAUCCACUUUGAUACAUAAUCCACUGCUAAGAGAAUGUAUUUGUUGUUAUAUGAUGAAGGAAAAGGUCCCAUGAAAUCGAUGCCCCAAACAUCAAAUAAUUCAACUUCGAGGAUAUUCUGCAGUGGCAUUUCAUUUCGUCGAGAUAUAUUCCCAGUAUGCUGACAUCUAUCACAAGCAGUAACAAAAGCAUGAGCAUCUUUAAACAUAAUGGGCCAAUAAAAACCUGACUGCAGAACUUUGGCUGCAGUACGUUGUGUUCCAAAAUGCCCCCCAUAUUCAAGUGAGUGGCAAUGCUUCAAUAUGUUUGUCAUUUCCUCUUCUGGAACGCACCUCCUGAUGACUUGAUCUGCACAAUGCCGAUAGAGUAUCGGCUCCUCCCAGAAGUAGUGUUUGACUUUAGAAAAAAAUUUCUUCUUUUGCUGGUAAGAAAAAUCUGGCGGUAUGAUUUUACCUGCAAGAAAGUUGACAUAAUCUGCAUACCAAGGAAAGAAUUUGUUAGUGGAAAUUGCUAAGAGUCUUUCAUCAGGAAAACAUUCAUUUAUAACCGUGAAUUUAGGCUCCAGCUGCUGUGCCAAUUCCAGCCUUGAAAGAUGAUCUGCCACCAUGUUCUCAGUCCCCUUCUUAUCUUUAAUUUCGACAUCAAAUUCUUGCAGUAACAGGAUCCAACGGAUGAGUCUAGGCUUGGCAUCUUUCUUAGACACUAGGUGUCUAAUUGCAGCAUGAUCAGUAUACACCAGCACUUUGUUUCCCAUCAGGUAAGGCCGAAACUUAUCAAAUGCAUAGACCACAACAAGCAACUCUUUCUCGGUUGUGGCAUAAUUGAGCUGGGCAUCGCUGAGUGUUCUGCUGACAUAGUAUAUGGUGUGAAACACAUUAUUUUUCCGUUGCCCUAGUACUGCUCCAACUGCAUAAUCACUUGCAUCACACAUAAGCUCAAAUGGUUUCUCCCAAUCCGGUGCAAUUACAAUAGGAGCUGUCACUAACUUCUUUUUCAACAGCAUAAAGGUUGUCUUGCAUUCCUCAUCAAACUGAAACUUUGUGUCUUUUAGCAGCAGACUGCAUAGCGGUUUGGAUAUUUUAGAGAAGUCUUUGAUGAACCUCCUAUAAAAUCCCGCAUGACCAAGGAAACUCCUAACCCCUUUUACUAUAGUUGGCGGCAAAAGCUUGUUUAUUGCUUCAAUUUUAGCUCUGUCUACCUCUAUUCCUUUUUCUGAAAUCCGGUGCCCCAAUACUAUACCUUCCUUUACCAUGAAGUGACAUUUUUACCAGUUCAAUAUCAAGUUUGUCUUUUCACAACGCUCCAAAACCAACGCCAACUUUGCAAGGCAGUCAUCAAAAGAAGUUCCAAAUACAGAAAAGUCAUCCAUGAAGAUCUCAAUGAUUUGCUCCACCAUAUCUGAAAAAAUAGCCAUCAUGCACCUCUGAAAGGUAGCUGGUGCAUUACACAACCCAAAAGGCAUUCUUCUGAAAGCAAAAGUACCAUAAGGGCAGGUGAAAGUGGUCUUCUCCUGGUCCUCAGGUGCGAUGGCUAUUUGGUUGUAUCCUGAAUAGCCAUCUAGGAAACAGUAGUAUUCAUGCCCAGCUAACCUGUCCAGCAUCUGAUCAAUGAAUGGUAGGGGGAAGUGAUCUUUGCGAGUUGCCUUGUUGAGCUUUCGAUAAUCCAUGCAAAUCCUCCAUCCAGUUACCGGUCUAGUAGGUAUCAAGUUGUUGUUUGCAUCUUUUACCACUGUCAUUCCUCCUUUCUUUGGCACAACUUGAACUGGGCUCACCCAUGAGCUGUCAGAGAUUGGAUAAAUAACACCAGCAUCUAACCAUUUCAGAACUUCUUUUCGGACUACCUCUUUCAUGGUCGGGUUAAGCCUUCUCUGAUGUUCUACUGUUGGCUUGACUUCAUCCUCCAACAGAAUUUUAUGCAUGCAAAUAGAGGGACUGAUGCCUUUGAUAUCUGCCAAUACCCACCCGAGAGCUGCCUUAUGUUUUCUCAACACCCUCAACAAUUUUUCUUCCUCUGUUUUGGUCAGCUUUGCAGAGACUAUCACAGGAUAGGUGGAAGCUUCUCCAAGAUAUGCAUACCGAAGGUGUUCUGGCAGAGGUUGCAAUUCCAGAACCGGUGCUUGUUCACUGGUUGAUUUUAUUUUUGGUGCUGGUUGUCCCAAAUCUUCAAAGUAUCUUCUGCGGUUAGGUUCAAAAGAGUCCAUCCAACAUGUAUAUUCUGCUAUUUCAGCAUCCUCUUCCAGUACAUUAUUUACCAAACAUGCUUCCAACGGGUCAGUUGGAAGCUUGACUUUGUCAUUAAUUAAAGAGUCCACCACUUGAAUGCUGAAGCAACUCUCCCCCAUAUCUGGCUGUUUGAUGGCUUUGAACACAUUGAAAAUCACCUCCUCUUCAUUCACCCUUAACCGCAGCUCCCCUUUCUUCACAUCAAUUAACGCACCUCCAGUGGCCAAGAAUGGCCGGCCAAGCAAGAUCGGAAUCUCAUUAUCCUCCUCCAUAUCCAGUAUGAUGAAGUCUGCUGGAAAGAUGAACUUGCCCACUUUCACCAGUACGUCUUCAAUUAUUCCCCUUGGAUGCUUCAAUGACCUGUCAGCUAGCUGCAGUGUUACUGUAGUUGGCCUUGCUUCACCUAAACCAAGCUUCUUAAAAAUAGAUAAAGGCACGAGAUUAAUACUUGCACCUAAAUCACAUAAAGCUUUUUCAAAUAUAGAAUUUCCAAUGGAACAUGGUAUAGUAAAACUCCCUGGAUCCUUAAGUUUAGGAGGCAGUUUCUUCUGCAAAAUGGCACUGCAUUCCUCAGUAAGAGCAACAGUCUCAUAUUCCUCUAGCUUUCUUUUGUUUGAGAGGAUGUCCUUUAAAAAUUUCACAUAGCUUGGCAUUUGUUCAAGAGCAUCUGCAAAAGGAAUGUUAAUCUGUAAUUUUUUAAACACAUCAAGAAAUUUAGAAAAUUGCUUAUCAAGUUUAUUCUUCUUGAGACGUUGUGGAAAUGGAAUUCUCUGCAUUAUUUCUUGCGUUGGUUCUGGCAGAGGAUCAGAUUUUUUCAUAUUCUGAAGUGGUUUGGCCACUUGCUCCUCCUCUUCUCUUCCUGCACUCUUGUUUCCAGCGGUCUGCUCCACUUCUUUUCCACUUCGUAAAGUUAUGGCCUUGCAUUGCUCCUUAGAAUUAAUUUCAGUUGUGCUUGGUAGAUUUCCUUGUUGUCUACCCGUGAGCAUGUUGGCUAACUGACCAACUUGAACCUCCAAAUUUCGAAUAGAAGCUGCUUGGUUCUGCAGAUUAGUAUUUGUUUCAGUCAUGAAUCUGCUGGUGUUGUUUGCUAAUUGUGUCAUAGCUUCUUCAAGUUUAGAUUUCUCUUUCAUGUGCUCACUUGAAGAUGGCAUGGCUGGAUUCUUCAUGACAGUUUGAUUGUUCCAUGAGAAAUUAGGAUGAUUUCUCCAACCGGGAUUAUAUGUUGCACUGUAGGGGUUGUUCUGCCGGCUAUAGUUUGACACAAAAUGAGCAUGCUCUACUUGAGAGAACGGGUUCCCAACCUGACACUCUUCACUUGUGUGAUUUCCAUGGCAAAAAUCACACGUUGUAUGGAUGGCAUUUGCUGACAGUUGAGUGGUUUUCAGUUGCUGAGUUAGUGAAUGGACUUGAGCUGUUAAUGCCGUGAUUGCAUCAAUUUCAUGCACCCCAACAGUCUUCUUCUGUAUGCUUCUUUCAUUUGGCCAUUGGUAAUUGUUCAUAGCCAUUUCUUCCAAUAAGUUAUAAGCAUCAUCCUGUGACUUACUCAUAAAAGCUCCUCCUGAAGCUGCAUCAAUUAGUGUUCUUGUGGAGGCAUUCAAUCCAUUGUAAAAAUUCUGCACCUGCAUCCACUUCGGUAGUCCAUGGUGGGGGCAUCGCCUGAGCAAAUCCUUGUAUCUCUCCCAUGCCUCAUACAAUGGUUCACUCUCAAGUUGGGCAAAGUUAGCUAUCUCAAUGCGCAUUUUUGCUGUCUUGGCUGGUGGAAAAAAUUUAGCAAGGAAUUUCUGAGCUAAAUCUUCCCAGCUGAUAACUGAAUCUGCAGGCAUGGAGUUUAACCAGUUCUUCGCUCUAUCUCACAGAGAAAAUGGAAACAGUCUGAGACGAAUGGCAUCAUCAGUAACGCCAUUAUGCUUAAAUGUGUCGCAAAUUUCCAAGAAACUUGCAAUAUGGGCGUUAGGAUCAUCACUUGGCAACCCAUAAAACUGAAUUGAGGUCUGAAUCAUCUGCAGUAUUGCUGGUUUGAUCUCAAAAUUAUUGGCCUCAAUCCUUGGUUUCCUGAUAACAGAACGGAUUCCUGUCACCUGUGGGAGAGCAAAAUCUCUCAAUGCCCGUGUGUCUUGCUCAGGAUUUUCAUUGUCUGCCAUGAUGCCUGAACUGUUUUGAGUCUCUCGCGUUUUCUUUCUUAAUCCCCUUGCAGUUCUCUCAAUCUCAGAAUUAUAAGGUAGCAACGGCUGGUUUUUGUUGCUUCUCAUGCACUAGACAACACACCUAAAGAGCUGAAGACAAAAGGCAAUCAAAUUAGAUCAAAUUUAAUUUAUAUUGAUAUUAUUAGUAAUUUUAUCUAAAAUCCCCGGCAACGGCGCCAAAAACUUGUUGGUUAAUUUCGCAAGUGCACGAAUCGUAACAAGUAAUAAAGUGAUGAGUAGAGUAUCGUCCCACGAGGAUUUGUAAAAAUUACUACUAAUUACCAAAGUCUUUUAAAUUAUGAUCUAUUUGAGGAAUCGAAUGAGAUAGUUUAUGAAACAAAAAUUAAUGAUUAAAAAAACAAACAACCAAAUGAUUAAAUAUUAAUGAAUUCAUUUGUACUGGUUCUAGGAUUUCUGACUUACCGUAACUAUGCCUAUGUGAACUUUCUCGAUUAAAUUAAUAUCUCCUAAUGUUGAUAAUCAGGUUUUCCUAAUGUAAAUAUUAAUCUCUCUCGAGCAUCGAUAAAUUAUUUCAACAACCAAAUUUCAUAUACUCUACGAAAAUUCUGAACUUGUCGAAAUCAAUUAAAUACUGUAAAACCUGUAACGAUUACAAAAGUUCCAAGGAUAUCUCUAUCCUAUAGAUUUCUUAAGAUAUUUCAAACAAUAGCUAAAACAAUUAUCACUUCUCAGUUUCAAAUUGAAUUCUAAAUCAUGCAGAUGUUGGCCAAACACACGCAAGCAUUACACAUAGAAUGAAAUACUCAACAUCUUAAUGUAAUAAUUCAAUCGAAGAAAUUGUUCACAUAUUCAUAGUAAGGUUACAUAAAAAAUCCCAGAAUAAAAGUCUACUCCAUAGUUAAAUUAAAGAGAAACAAACUUGAUACGAUGAACAUCACUCAAAAACAGAGAAUUUCCGGUGGAAGAGAUAAGUGUCCUCCCGGUCUUCAAUAUUUUUGCCUCUGUUCUUUUUGUUCCUGUUGGUGCCGCCUCCUCUGUUUUUCUUUGCUCUGUUAUAGGGUUUUCCAAGUGUCUCCUACCUCUUUUUCAGACCCCGUAACUCUUCUUUUAUAUUGUGGCUUUUCUACCCCUGCAGUAAUGAGGAAAAUUUCCUUUUCUGCAUUGCUUUCUCCUACCCAGACAUUGCGGGCCAGAUUUGAGGUAGAAAACGUGCGAAUUAAAAGAUCUCUAUUUCUGGAGAAAUUGUAGAGAAUCAAAUUUUAUUUCCAACGACACUGAUCUUGCAAUUUUUGGACCUCUGAGCGUUGAGAUAUGGGCUAUAAACCGAAACAGUCUUUGCAGUGCAGGAAUUUCGGGCUGGUUCAAUCCUUGUUUUUCAACUCGCUUUUUGGGCUUCGAAACAAUAAAACUGAGUUAUAUGUCCUUCAUAUGUUUUGUAGACCUUCAUCUCAGCUAUUUGAAAAUGGUUACGAACAUCCGGAACUAAAUUGUAUAGCUUCUUUGCAGCACAUAAUGAAUCACUGUUCAGUUUCACUGCCCGGCUCUGCCUGUUCAGUAACCUAAGAUCUGAAAACACAUUAAUUUCCCACGAGGUCAAUAGUUCAAAAAGAGAUUCAAAAUUCUAAUUGUCUUGUGCAACAUAUCCAAAAUAUUUAAAAAUCAAGCAUGAAUA